rnacentral:lncRNA from 1 species
ACAGCCUUCAAUAGGAGGGAGGAAGGCAAAUUAUCUAGUCAGCCCAUCAGCAAUCCAAAAGGACAAUAUAUGGCUGAGAGUUCCACUGGCCUAGAGAUUUUUUUCGAGCAUGCAAAAUCUGUAAUGAUCCUUAAAAGUGGAAAAGUCUUAAACCAGUCAGAAAAAAAACCAACAGUUAGAACAAGCAGAACAAGCCAAGUCAGAAAAGAAGAAAUCUAAAGAGAGAGA